rnacentral:rRNA from 1 species
CUUUGACGUUAGCGGCGGACGGGUGAGUAACACGUGGGUAACCUACCUAUAAGACUGGGAUAACUUCGGGAAACCGGAGCUAAUACCGGAUAAUAUUUCGAACCGCAUGGUUCGAUAGUGAAAGGUGGUUUUGCUAUCACUUAUAGAUGGACCCGCGCCGUAUUAGCUAGUUGGUAAGGUAACGGCUUACCAAGGCGACGAUACGUAGCCGACCUGAGAGGGUGAUCGGCCACACUGGAACUGAGACACGGUCCAGACUCCUACGGGAGGCAGCAGCA